UUCUUUAAGGUUUUACCCUAAGAAUCGAUUAUACUUUCUUCAUUCAUUCCUAAGGGUUUACCUGAGGAACUGGCACACAGUCCAUUUGCUACCACGGUUUAUACAAUAAGUACUACGUCGCAUAGUCACCAGGGUUCAUACAAUUGGCACUACGUCUCAUAGUCACCAGGUCUUACACAAUAGGCACUACGUCUCAUAGUCACCUGGGUUCAUACAAUUGGCACUACGUCUCAUAGUCACCAGGGCUUACACAAUAGGCACUACGUCUCAUAGUCACCUGGGUUCAUACAAUUGGCACUACGUCUCAUAGUCACCAGGGCUUACACAAUAGGCACUACGUCUCAUAGUCACCUGGGUUCAUACAAUUGGCACUACGUCUCAUAGUCACCAGGACUUACACAAUAGGCACUACGUCUCAUAGUCACCUGGGUUCAUACAAUUGGCACUACGUCUCAUAGUCACCAGGACUUACACAAUAGGCACAUCGUCACCAAAGUUUAUCAAAUAGGCACAAAGUCGCAUCGUCACCAACUAUUCCAUCUACCCAUGUUCUACCCAACAUUUUUGUAGAUAUAAAUACAAACACAAUUUGAAUCAUUUAACAGCCGUAUAAAAACAUCAAUUCCAAAUCCAUCUCAAAUAGAUAUAUAACACCUAGCACGUAUUUCAUAGCUAAUACUUUAUAUUUAUGUAUUAGAAGAAAGUGCUAUGCACUCACGCAUAUAAACAACAAUAUAUAUA
rnacentral:lncRNA from 1 species